UACGUAGGGUGCAAGCGUUAAUCGGAAUUACUGGGCGUAAAGCGUGCGCAGGCGGUGAUGUAAGACAGGUGUGAAAUCCCCGGGCUUAACCUGGGAACUGCAUUUGUGACUGCAUCGCUGGAGUGCGGCAGAGGGGGAUGGAAUUCCGGGUGUAGCGGUGAAAUGCGUAGAUAUCCGGAGGAACACCGGUGGCGAAGGCGGCUUCCUGGACCGACACUGACGCUGAGGCGCGAAAGCUAGGGGAGCAAACGGG
rnacentral:rRNA from 1 species